AAAAACUUGGUAUCUUGCUUAAAAAUACUACAAUAGGAAGUACAAAGAAUUUAGACUAUUUAGACUUAGAAAUAUUUUCUGAAAAGAAAUAUAGAAGGCUGAAGCAUGGUUCAGUAAUCAAGUGUAAAUUUACAGAAGGAGACCACAUCUUACAUAGCGAUAAUCAUCACUUAAACACUAUUACAGACCUAACAAUAAAUCUAGC
rnacentral:lncRNA from 1 species